ensembl:lncRNA
CUUCAGACCCGACCCUGACCCUCCCCAAACUUCAUCUCAACCUUGAACUUCCAUCCUGACUUUGACCUUGAGCCUAACUCCAACCCUUGACACAGACCCUAACUGUAUCCUGCCCUGUCCUCCUUCCAGGGAGCAGACGGGACUCAGGGACGCCGGGGACCCCCAGGCCUCUUUGGGCAGAAAGGAGAUGAUGGAGUGAGAGGCUUCCCUGGCGUGAUUGGUCCUCCUGGCCUACAGGUGGGUGUCUGAGUUUGAGGGUAUGGUCUCUGGUCCUCCCCACUUUGUGCCCCAAUUUUGCUUCUUUGCUCCACAGGGAAUGCCAGGCCCUGCUGGAGAAAAGGGAGAAGUUGGAGAUGUAGGGUCCAUGGUAUGAACUAUGGGGGAAAUGGGAGGAGUGGUAGGGUAGGGUUGGCCAUCAGAUCGAUUUGCGGGGUCACGGGGCACAUUGUUUGAAGGAUCACAUGGGUCACCAGUAUCAAGGGUGGUGUUUGUGGUUUGUUGUUGUUCAGUCACUCAGUUGUGUUGGACUCUUUGUGACCCCUACGGACUGCAGAACGCCAGGCCUCCCUGUCCUUCACUGUCUCCCUGAGUUUGCUCAAACUCAUGUCCAUUGAGUCAGUGAUGCCAUCCAACCAUCUCAUCUUCUGUCGCUCCCUUCUCCUCUUGCUUGGAACUUUUUGAGGGGCCAUGAGGUCACUGGAUGCUAUUCUGACUGUCCCAUAGGGUCCCCACGGAGCUCCAGGCCCUCGGGGUCCCCAGGGCCCCAGCGGAUCAGAGGUGAGGACUUGGGGGGCGGGCCUCAGGAAGCCUUAGGACAUCAUGUUCCCAAGAAGGGGCUGUUGGAAUCCCUCCAUCCCACCUGUACCCCUCGUUGUCUCUCCAGGGUCCUCCAGGGUUGCCUGGGGGAGUUGGUCAGCCCGGCGCUGUGGGUGAGAAGGGUGAGCCAGGAGAGCCUGGAGACCCAGGACCCCCAGGGACUCCAGGCACCCCAGGCCCCAGAGGAGAAGUUGGUGAAAAGGGGGAUGCAGGCCCAUCUGGGGCUGCUGGACCCCCAGGCAAGAAAGGCCCCCCUGGAGAGGAUGGAGCAAAGGGGAACAUGGUGAGUCCUGGGGCACAUGGAGGCCGAGACCCAGGGAAGGGCAUAUGUAUCAAUUCGAACCUGCUCCCCAACUUCCAGCCAGGGAUCCCGUGUGCUGAUUCCACAAGCAAUCCAGAACAGGACUGAGUGAAUGAAUGAUUGAGUGAAAGGAUGAAUCAGUGUAAACAUACAGUGGUAAUGGGUCAUGGCAGCAGGAGAAACUUGCUUCCACAUGGAGUCAUUCCAACAGUGCUGGAAAGGUCAAAGUUGAAACUGAUGCGGGAUCAGGGUUGGCUGAUUGGGAUUUGCCAUCAGGGCAAAGGUUGAACCCCUCCUGCCAUGGCGAUGGGACUCAGGGUGGGCAGGGAGGGUGGUGAGGGGCUUCAGAGUCUGAGGGACCUUGAUUUGAAUUUCAGCACCCCACCCCUUCCCGGGUCCCCUCUCUGAUUUUUAUCUGUGAAUCCCAAGCUGGGAGGAUGCAGUGUAAUGAUUCAUGGAACAUUUUUAGCUCCCAUUAAACACCAGAAUGUUCCUUCUAG